AUGCAGGUGCAUGCUGCUCCGAGAGCACGGGCAUGGCUGCCACCUGAGGGUGAAGCGGUGAAGUUUAAUUGCGAUGGUGCAUUAUCGACCCUGGGAGAGAAGGGAGCGGCGGCUGUGAUUUGCCGAGACAAGUCAGGGAAGUUUCUUGGAGCAUCAGCACUAGUCUUUGAAGGCUUGCUCGACCCGGCGAGUUUGGAGGCGCACGCGUGCAGUGAAGCACUUGCCCUUGCUCGUGAUCUGAAUGUGCAGGACCUGGUGAUUGCGUCUGAUUGUUUAGAGCUGAUCUCAAAUAUCAGCACACAAGCACUACCAGUGUAUGCGCCUAUUCUACAGGAUAUACACAUUAGCAUGAACCUUUUCUCUUCAGUUAUUUUUCGUUUUGAGCGCAGAGAGAAAACAAUUUCGAGGCCCACUCGGUUGCAAAAGGAGCUGCGUCUCUGCCGGUGGGCCGCCACGUGUGACUAG
rnacentral:rRNA from 1 species